rnacentral:rRNA from 1 species
AAUUUCGUGGAGGCUCGAACCGUUUAGUGUUGAAAAACUAUCGGAUGACGUGUGGGUAGCGGUGAAAUUCCAAUCGAACCCGGAGAUAGCUGGUUCUCCUCGAAAUAGCUUUAGGGCUAGCCUCGAUACAGAUUUGCGGAGGUAGAGCACUGAAUUUCCUAGGGGGCGUCAAAGCCUACCGAAGAAUAUCAAACUCCGAAUGCCGCGUAAUCGAUUAUCGGGAGUCAGACUGCACGAGAUAAGUUGGGCGGUCAAAAGGGAAAGAGCCCAGACCUUCAGUUAAGGUCCCCAAGUGCGCGUUAAGUGGAAAAGGAUGUGGGAUUUCGAAGACAACCAGGAUGUUGGCUCAGAAGCAGCCAUCCAUUCAAAGAGUGCGUAAUAGCUCACUGGUCGAGAGGUCCUGCGCCGAAAAUGUCCGGGGCUGAAACGCGCCACCGAAACUAAGGAACCGAAAGGUUGGUAGAGGAGCAUUGCAUGCGGGAAGAAGCAGUACCGUAAGGAGCUGUGGACUGCAUGGAAGAGAGAAUGCCGGAAUGAGUAGCGAGAAUAAGGUGAGAAUCCUUAUGGCCGAAUAUCCAAGGUUUCCAGAGUAAAGCUGAUCUGCUCUGGGUAAGUCGGGGCCUAAGGCGAGGACGAGAGUCGUAGCCGAUGGACAACAGGUGGAGAUUCCUGUACUGCGGUAUGACAGAACUGUGGGGACACGUAAGGAAAGCGGAAGCCGGGAAUGGAAAGCCCGGUGCAAGCGGGGUACCAGCCACUUUGGCAAAUCCGGGUGGCAAUGGGAAGCCGUGAUGCGGAGCGAAAUAAAGUAGCGAAGUCCGUGAGCCAUGCGUCAAGAAAAGCCGCUAUCGUUUAUACCGUACCCGUACCGUAAACCGACACAGGUGGAUGAGGAGAGAAUCCUAAGGCCGGCGGAAGAAGCAUUGUCAAGGAACUCGGCAAAAUGGCCCCGUAACUUAGGGAUAAGGGGUGCCUGGGAAACCAGGCCGCAGAGAAUAGGCUCAAGCAACUGUUUAGCAAAAACACAGGUCUAUGCGAAACCGAAAGGUGAGGUAUAUGGGCUGACGCCUGCCCGGUGCUGGAAGGUUAAGAGGAGAGGUUAGCGGUAACGCGAAGCUUUGAAUUUAAGCCCCAGUAAACGGCGGCCGUAACUAUAACGGUCCUAAGGUAGCG